UACGAAGGGGGCUAGCGAUGUUCGGAUUUACUGGGCGUAAAGCGCAUGUAGGCGGGUCGUUAAGUCGGGGGUGAAAGCCCAGAGCUCAACUCUGGAACUGCCUUCGAUACUGGCGACCUGGAGCAGGUCAGAGGCGAGUGGAAUUGCGAGUGUAGAGGUGAAAUUCGUAGAUAUUCGCAGGAACACCAGUGGCGAAGGCGACUCGCUGGAUCUUUGCUGACGCUGAGAUGCGAAAGCGUGGGGAGCAAACAGG
rnacentral:rRNA from 1 species